rnacentral:rRNA from 1 species
UACGAAGGGGGGCUAGCGUUGUUCGGAUUUACUGGGCGUAAAGCGCGCGUAGGCGGCUUUGCAAGUCGGGUGUGAAAUCCCCAGGCUUAACCUGGGAACUGCAUUCGAGACUGCAUUGCUAGAGUAUGGGAGAGGGAAGUGGAAUUUCCGGUGUAGCGGUGAAAUGCGUAGAUAUCGGAAGGAACAUCAGUGGCGAAAGCGACUUCCUGGACCAAUACUGACGCUCAUGUGCGAAAGCGUGGGGAGCAAACAGG